GUGUGUGUGUGUGUGUGUGUGUAUGUGUGUGUGUGUGUGUGUGUGUGUGUGUGUGUGUGUGUGUGUGUGCUUGUGUUACAGUAUGUAUAUGGAGGACAGAGGAGUUGAUUUCUUUCCUUCCAUCAUGUGAGGCUUGGCAGUGAGCAUUUUGACUUGCUGAGUCAUCUCACCAGCCUCCAAUAAGAUCUUAAUGGGAGUGGCUGUUUUAGCCCUUUCAGGCUAAUCAGUAUGCUAAGCUUGAGGUUAUUUUAUUGAAGUUCAUUCUUGGGGAGUGGAGGUGGGGAAUGAAUUAUGCAAUCAGACAUGCCUUACUUAAGCAUACCUUCCAUUUUAAACCUUUGUAUUCUCUUGCAUUUUGCUGGUAUGAUUCUGGAAGUUUCUUCUAUCUCUCUUGUUUGGUGUGUGUGUGUAUCUUUUAGGUCCUUUGUAUUAUUGCUAAGAUUUUUUCCCAGACUUCUACUUUUUUUUAAAUUUUUUUCUUCCAGAAAGCACCAAUUGAUAUAUUUCCAGCUAUCUGAUGGUUGGAUCUUUAGGAACAAUCCUGAAUAUCAAUAAUGUUCCACUGGACGAUUUCACACUGAGGAGUGUUUGGGAAGCAUAUAUUGGACUCAGACAGCAGCCUGGCAUGGUUGUCUUCUGAGAAGCUCUACCAGCACCUGACUAAGACAGAUGUGGAUGCUCGCAGCCAACCACUGAACUGAGCCCGGGGAACCCCAAUGGAAGAGUUAGGGGAAGGACUAAAGGAGCUGAGGGGAUUGCAACCCCAUGUGAAGAACAACAGUAUCAACUAACCAGACCCUUCAGAGCUCUUAGGGACUAAACCACCAACCAAAGAGCAUACAUGGGCUAGUCUGAGACCUCUGCUACAUAUGUAGCAGAGGACUGCCUUGUCUGGCCUCAGUGAGAGGAGAUGCAUUUGGUCCUGUGGCGGC
rnacentral:lncRNA from 1 species